GCUGUGUCAAAAUUACCAUUGUUACCUACACAUUUAAUUGAUAUUGUUAGGUUGUUGAAUAUUUAUGAUUAUUUAGAUGCUUGUUUAUGGUGUUUUCUAACGUUUGCUUUUUUUUGGUAUGCUUAGGGCGUCAAACCUGGUCAGCAGAAGCUCUACAUCUUUUAAUUCCCGUGAACAAUUGAUCAGAGAUAAUGUUGUUGUUAGUGAAAAGGG
rnacentral:lncRNA from 1 species